AGAGACCGGCGCACGGGUGCGUAACGCGUAUGCAAUCUACCUUUUGCAGAGGGAUAGCCCAGAGAAAUUUGGAUUAAUACCUCAUAGUAUGUGAGAAUGGCAUCAUUUUCACAUUAAAGUCACAACGGCAAAAGAUGAGCAUGCGUCCCAUUAGCUAGUUGGUAAGGUAACGGCUUACCAAGGCAACGAUGGGUAGGGGUCCUGAGAGGGAGAUCCCCCACACUGGUACUGAGACACGGACCAGACUCCUACGGGAGGCAGCAGUGAGGAAUAUUGGACAAUGGGCGCAAGCCUGAUCCAGCCAUGCCGCGUGCAGGAUGACGGUCCUAUGGAUUGUAAACUGCUUUUGUACAGGAAGAAACACUCCCUCGUGAGGGAGCUUGACGGUACUGUAAGAAUAAGGAUCGGCUAACUCCGUGCCAGCAGCCGCGGUAAUACGGAGGAUCCAAGCGUUAUCCGGAAUCAUUGGGUUUAAAGGGUCCGUAGGCGGUUUAGUAAGUCAGUGGUGAAAGCCCAUCGCUCAACGGUGGAACGGCCAUUGAUACUGCUAGACUUGAAUUAUUAGGAAGUAACUAGAAUAUGUAGUGUAGCGGUGAAAUGCUUAGAGAUUACAUGGAAUACCAAUUGCGAAGGCAGGUUACUACUAAUGGAUUGACGCUGAUGGACGAAAGCGUGGGUAGCGAACAGGAUUAGAUACCCUGGUAGUCCACGCCGUAAACGAUGGAUACUAGCUGUUGGGCGCAAGUUCAGUGGCUA
rnacentral:rRNA from 1 species